rnacentral:rRNA from 1 species
GACGAAGGGGGCUAGCGUUGUUCGGAAUUACUGGGCGUAAAGCGCGUGUAGGCGGUUGGCCAAGUUGGAUGUGAAAGCCUUGAGCUUAACUCAAGAAAUGCAUUCAGGACUGGAUGACUAGAGGACCGGAGAGGAUAGUGGAAUUCCCAGUGUAGUGGUGAAAUACGUAGAGAUUGGGAAGAACACCAGUGGCGAAGGCGGCUAUCUGGACGGUUUCUGACGCUAAGACGCGAAAGCGUGGGGAGCAAACAGG